rnacentral:rRNA from 1 species
UGCAAGUCGAACGGGGUGGGGGGCAACUCCCAUUCAGUGGCGAACGGGUGAGUAAUGCAUCGGAACGUAUCCCGUAGUGGGGGACAACGCCGCGAAAGCGGCGCUAAUACCGCAUAUGCUCUACGGAGGAAAGUGGGGGACCUGCAAGGGCCUCACGCUAUGGGAGCGGCCGAUGUCCGAUUAGCUAGUUGGUGGGGUAAUGGCCCACCAAGGCGACGAUCGGUAGCUGGUCUGAGAGGAUGAUCAGCCACACUGGGACUGAGACACGGCCCAGACUCCUACGGGAGGCAGCAGUGGGGAAUUUUGGACAAUGGGGGCAACCCUGAUCCAGCCAUGCCGCGUGCGGGAAGAAGGCCUUCGGGUUGUAAACCGCUUUUAGUCGGGAAGAAAAGGCCAAGGCUAAUACCCUUGGUUCGUGACGGUACCGGCGGAAUAAGCACCGGCUAACUACGUGCCAGCAGCCGCGGUAAUACGUAGGGUGCGAGCGUUAAUCGGAAUUACUGGGCGUAAAGCGUGCGCAGGCGGUUCGUCAAGUCUGAUGUGAAAGCCCCGGGCUCAACCUGGGAAUGGCAUUGGAAACUGGCGAGCUGGAGUGCGGCAGAGGGGGGUGGAAUUCCGCGUGUAGCAGUGAAAUGCGUAGAGAUGCGGAGGAACACCGAUGGCGAAAGCAGCCCCCUGGGCCGACACUGACGCUCAGGCA